AUACUGCUGAAGAGUCCAAUACUAGGACGAAACAGUCGUUCAGUGU
rnacentral:hammerhead_ribozyme from 1 species